GAGAGGAGAGGAGAGGAGAGGAGAGGAAGAAGAGAGGAGAGAAAGAAGAGAGAGGAGAGAGAGAGGGAGAGGAGAGAGAGAGGUUGAGGAUUGGAUCUAGAUCUGGUCGGGGUGUUCUAAGUGAAGUUGAGGGUCUAGGGGCGGUUUGGUGACUGUGUCAGAUUGUGGUGAUUAAGUUUGGCGUGGUGGCACUAAGUGUGGUGGAGACAUUCUGGUAGAGGAGGUCUGUGGGUUCAAUGGAACUGUUACCAUUCAGCUUUUCAGUAGCAGGACAUGACGCCUCUGUCAGAAAAGUGGAGUGACUGUCUGCGUGGCCUUCUUCCUAACACACACACUACGAGUGGAGACGAGGAGGAUUCUGGGAUGUGGACGAGACAGUGAAUCGCAGAAAAAGCACGCCUUGCUGUGGCUGGUCAAACGGAACCAAGUCAGGUGUUUCAGUGAGGUUUGGUCCCCUUCAACCAGCUACUGCGUCGUGAACUCAGUCAGCAGACAGACAGACACCCGCAGCGGGAACGAAAGACAGGGUAGCUCUACUGCUGCAUGUUUUUGUCUCCAUAAAUCAGGUGUCAAUGUGUUUUUGUGUCUCCAUAAAUCAGGUGUCAAUGUGUUUUUGUGUCUCCAUAAAUCAGGUGUCAAUGUGUUUUUGUGUCUCCAUAAAUCAGGUGUCAAUGUGUUUUUGUGUCUCCAUAAAUCAGGUGUCAAUGUGUUUUUGUGUCUCCAUAAAUCAGGUGUCAAUGUGUUUUUGUGUCUCCAUAAAUCAGGUGUCAAUGUGUUUUUGUGUCUCCAUAAAUCAGGUGUCAAUGUGUUUUUGUGUCUCCAUAAAGCAGGUGUCAAUGUGUUUUUGUGUCUCCAUAAAUCAGGUGUCAAUGUGUUUUUUUGUCUCCAUAAAUCAGGUGUUAAAUAGACAACAGUUUGUACACUGUGGAUUCCCUUUUCAUACUGUAUGUUUCGGGUCUUGUUUAUUGUUGUGCUUGAAAAAUAAAGAAUUAAAAGAUGUGA